AGUUCAGUUGGUCAGAGCAUGGUGCUAAUAACACCACGGUUGUGGGUUCAAUCCCUAU
rnacentral:tRNA from 1 species